rnacentral:rRNA from 1 species
UCUCUACGGAAUAACUCAGGGAAACUUGUGCUAAUACCGUAUACGCCCUUCGGGGGAAAGAUUUAUCGGAGAUGGAUGAGCCCGCGUUGGAUUAGCUAGUUGGUGGGGUAAAGGCCUACCAAGGCGACGAUCCAUAGCUGGUCUGAGAGGAUGAUCAGCCACAUUGGGACUGAGACACGGCCCAAACUCCUACGGGAGGCAGCAGUGGGGAAUAUUGGACAAUGGGCGCAAGCCUGAUCCAGCCAUGCCGCGUGAGUGAUGAAGGCCCUAGGGUUGUAAAGCUCUUUCACCGGUGAAGAUAAUGACGGUAACCGGAGAAGAAGCCCCGGCUAACUUCGUGCCAGCAGCCGCGGUAAUACGAAGGGGGCUAGCGUUGUUCGGAAUUACUGGGCGUAAAGCGCACGUAGGCGGGUAUUUAAGUCAGGGGUGAAAUCCCAGAGCUCAACUCUGGAACUGCCUUUGAUACUGGGUACCUAGAGUAUGGAAGAGGUGAGUGGAAUUCCGAGUGUAGAGGUGAAAUUCGUAUAUUCGGAGGAACACCAGUGGCGAAGGCGGCUCACUGGUCCAUUACUGACGCUGAGGUGCGAAAG